UUGGUGACUGAGUGGCGGACGGGUGAGUAACGCGUGGGUAACCUGCCUCAUACAGGGGGAUAACAGUUAGAAAUGGCUGCUAAUACCGCAUAAGCGCACAGUACCACAUGGUACAGUGUGAAAAACUCCGGUGGUAUGAGAUGGACCCGCGUCUGAUUAGCUAGUUGGCAGGGUAACGGCCUACCAAGGCGACGAUCAGUAGCCGACCUGAGAGGGUGAUCGGCCACAUUGGGACUGAGACACGGCCCAAACUCCUACGGGAGGCAGCAGUGGGGAAUAUUGCACAAUGGGGGAAACCCUGAUGCAGCGACGCCGCGUGAAGGAAGACGUAUUUCGGUAUGUAAACUUCUAUCAGCAAGGAAGAUGAUGACGGUACUUGACUAAGAAGCCCCGGCUAACUACGUGCCAGCAGCCGCGGUAAUACGUAGGGGGCAAGCGUUAUCCGGAUUUACUGGGUGUAAAGGGAGCGUAGGCGGCCAUGCAAGUCAGAAGUGAAAGCCCGGGGCUCAACCCCGGGACUGCUUUUGAGACUGUAAGGCUAGAUUGCCGGAGAGGUAAGCGGAAUUCCUAGUGUAGCGGUGAAAUGCGUAGAUAUUAGGAGGAAC
rnacentral:rRNA from 1 species